rnacentral:rRNA from 1 species
CCUACGGGUGGCUGCAGUGGGGAAUAUUGCACAAUGGGGGAAACCCUGAUGCAGCGACGCCGCGUGAGUGAAGAAGCGUUUCGGCGCGUAAAGCUCUGUCAGCGGGGAAGAAACACGGUUCGCGAGAACCACGGGCGGUACCCGACCAAGAAUCCCCGGCUAAAGACGUGCCAGCAGCCGCGGUAAUACGGAGGGGGCAAGCGUUAUGCGGAUUCACUGGGGGUAAAGGGAGCGUAGGCGGCGAGACAAGUCUGGAGUGAAAGGCCGGGGCCCAACCCCGGGACUGCACUGGAAACUGGCUGGCUAGAGUACAGGAGGGGGAAGUGGAAUUCCUAGUGUAGCGGUGAAAUGCGUAGAUAUUAGGAGGAACACCAGUGGCGAAGGCGGCUUACUGGACUGUAACUGACGUUGAGGCUCGAAAGCGUGGGGAGCAAACAGGAUUAGAUACCCGUGUAGUC